AGAUCAAUCAUGUUCCUGUAUCAAAGUGCAGCACAUACAAAACUCUGCAGGAUUGUUGGUCUGCACAGGAUCCAUACUGUGUCUGGUGUGGCCCUGAAAACAGGUUAGAAACAUCAUCUGCAGUGAACAUCAGUGAAGGAAUUUAAAACUUGGAUUAGACUUACCUUUUUUCUUCUCCUAGCUGUACAUUUGAAGAAAACUGCCAAGGCUCAGACUGGUUGUCCAUUCCUGAUGAUUCUCAGCACAAAAUGGUUUCCUAUCAAGUUACGCAGGACCAGACUGGACAGGUAGAGAUUAGGGUUAGGUUCUGAGCUAUGAUGAGUUGUGGCUCUCUGAUAGUCGAUUGUUUAUUUACUCCAAUCUGGAUAUGUUUCAGAUCAAACUUAAACUCCACGUGCAUGUGACAGGGGGCAAAAUGGCGCUCUCUAACUUUGCCUGUCACUUCUCUACAAGUUCCACUGAGCACUUUGAAAUGAAAAUUCAGCGUCCACAUUUUCCACAUUGUUCUUCCACCCUUGAAUCAAGCACACUUCCUGCUGGAGGUCAGUCAUGAUAGAUAAUAAUAAUAUAAUAAAAAUUAUUUUAAUAUAAAGGUCUCAUAUUUAAUGAAUCUAUAUCAUGUCAGAGAUCUUAAAAUUCUGUCAAAUUUUCAAAAAUGAUAAAAAUUGUAAUACUCACAGAUUUUUUUCAUUAAAAAAGGACUGCCUAUUGUUGUAAAGAUCAGACUUGGUUCAUCACAGUUGACUGAGAGGCUGAACCUGCUCAACUGUACGGACAUCAGAGAACCAUCAACACCUGUCCUGUAAGUCCUCCACUGUUUUCUACUAAUCUAAAGUCCUUAUUUUGACCAGACUGGGAGAGCUAUCAAGAGAACAAAAUCUGGUUUCAUGUAAUACAAGGUGCAAAACAAAUACAGACUGUCACCACACUACCCCUCCACACUCUCUCUCUCUCUCUCUCUCUCUCUCUCUCUCUCUCUCUCUCUCUCCUCUCUCUCUCUCUCUCUCUCUCUCUCACACACACACACACACACACACACGCACGCACACACACACGCACACACACACACCUUAUUGUGUUUUCAUUUUCAUUUUUAAUUUUGUGGAUUGCAGUGUUUCCCCUCUUUCUUUAAUUGUAUUCUUACUUGUUGACCACAUGUCUGCGUUGCUAUCUUAUUUUAUCUCAUAAUAAUAGUUAAUAUGUAAACCUUAUUUUUAAAGUACCUUUAAAAACAAAUGCUUACAAGGUGUUCCCAUCUGUGAUGAGACCAAUUAGGAAUCAUUCAUUCAUUCAAGGUUUUCUCAGAGUUUAUUAGCACAUGAACACAGGUGGGAUCUUUUGACAUCCUGCAUGAAAGUCCACAGAGUAGUUCACUGAGAUUUCCAACUCAAAAAAUUGUACUUGAACUCGACCAAAUGAUGAUGCUGCUGCUCAAAAACUUCAUGUAAACUCGUCAUGUAAAAACUGUUUUGCUUUCAGGUGCCAAAAGUGUAUUAAUGCUGGAUGUGCCUGGACCGCAAGCGGCUGUUUUUGGGGAAAUCAAGGCGUCAGGAAUGUAAUUAUGCAUGUUUUUAUUCACUAGUAUAAAAAUGGCUUUUACUUGGUUUAGAUAAAAUGCCACUUUAAACUAUAAUUCAACAAUAUCAGCAGUACUACUUUGACUACCACCACUAAUAAGAAGUAGCAGCAGUAGUAGUUGUGUAUUUCUUUACUAGUAAAAGAAAAAGUCACUUUUGAGAAUAACCAAUCAGUCAAUCUUUUGUUUAUAUUCAUGAUAUUAUUUGCCGUUAUCUCAAGACAUUUUUCAAAGGAGCAAAUCUUGACCAUACUUUGUCUUGUGUUAUGUACAAAGAUCCAGCUCACUGUACGCGGAGUUCUGUGCAGCACUUAGCAACUAACAAAUACAAGAAAAAUUUCAUUUUCAUGGAAAGAUACCUAAAGUACAACAGGACUGAUCCAAUGACCCUAACCUAGCAUAUUUAUACCAUAGAUGAAGAGGUGAAGCUGAGGUGGUCAUACCCACCUACAUAUUAACACAGGUGUUAAAGGAAUUUCAUGGACUUUUUUUAAGCCAGCUUCUAGUAGACACUUGAGGAACUGCAGUUUUUAACACUUCUGAUCUGGCUUCAUAAUAAGAUGCCAGCGGUUGCUGCUUUUUCUUUUCUCUGCCUGGGUUUGGUUUAGUUCAGAUCAUAGGGGGCACAAGAUAUAGCAGGACACUUUGUAGCACAAGGCUGAAGCUGAUGGCAUGUCUCUACCCUGCUGUUGCUUAUUAGUAUAUUCAGCUAACUCUAUGCAAAAUGUGACAACAGCAUGUCAGCAUGUUUGAAACAUGGACAGUUAAAGACUGCAUGAUACCUGGUUGAAUAUUUUUAAGACAACUGAAGACACUAUUAUAGUUUUAUGACUAUUUCUCUCUCAAGCCACUGAACUUACUCCUCACUGCUCUUUCUGCAGGACAGUGUUUGCCAAAUGAUGAAGUCAUUCAUGGACUUCCCCGUGAGUCCACCAUUUUUGCUUGCAGACCUCAUUCACAUUCAGGAAAUCCAAAUAUUAGCAGGUGGUAGUGUAUAAAAUCUAAAUAAAACUGUUACCUUUUGUUGGUUUGACUGUCAGAGACCACAGAUAUCCUCUAUCACUCCCAGUGUUGUGUCUUUCCACGGCAAAAACCAUGCAGUGUUGUCUGGUAGUAACCUCAGUUCUGUGAUCAGAGUGAGGAUCCAGGCAGACCUGGACUUCACACCACAAGAGUGAGUCAGGUUAUGGGUGUAUUAAAACGUUGGACUCCAAUAACUGAAUUUUACAUAUUAUAAAAUGUUUUUUAUGAAUCUCACUGCUUCAGUUUGUCUUUGUCUCACUCUGUGCACUCUGGUUAGGUCUCCUGUUUGGAGCAACACUGGUGAAACUCUGACGUUCCACAUACCCAGUGCGAAAUUUAAAGGUGUGGCCAAAGUAUGUGCUCUCCUUCCAGAUGGUAGUUGCCAUGGUAACACAUUUAUCACCUAUCGCUCAGCACCAUCCUGCCCCAGCAUUUCACCUGAAAGCACCUGGUUCAGGUAUGACUGUUUUAGGACUAUAGAAACUAUAAAAAUAUUAACAUGUAGACUUUGAUAAACUAGACUUUUCUGAGGAUAAGACUGAUGGAGUUUAAUGACAAAAAAAAAAAAAACUUUGCAAUGACUUGGCAAGGAGGCAGUGCAGAUUCUGCUUUAGUAAUACCCAGUGGUACAAAUGAAAAGUUACCAAGCAAACAUAACAGGAGAUUCUGGGAGGGGCUGAUCCCACUACAGAGGCCUUUUUAUAUUUUCAUAUAAAACAUCGUACAGGUGCAAGAACAAACAUUUCAAGUUGAUCAGACCAGGUGAAAGUUUUUAGGAUCUGCUGCUGGUCUAAUCUGGUCUGAUGACUGCCAAAGGUCUUAGUAAUCAAUGAGAAUCUUUGAGGAUCUUCAAGGUGCAUGAAGACUCCGUGAGAAGAAAUACUCAGAUGACACCCCUAGUCAUACCUGACGUUACAUCUGUAGCUCUUUUCUUUAGGGCAAUGACUGAAAGAAUUACACUGUUAUUUGCAUUUGUAGGUAAUCCUGAUAUUGAAGUGUUAGCCACUGUUGUGUGUUUAACACAUUAUACAUUCUCUGAUAUCCAGAGUGUGAAAAUGUUUGUUUUCAUUUGAUUGUAUGCUGGUAUGUGUCCUGUAGUGGGAAAAGAAAGAUCACAAUCAGUGGAUCCCACCUGGAGUUUGUAGAAGCGGUCAUACACAGCGAAGUCCUGCAGGAGGUCAGACUGGCAGGAAACGACAAUAACCAGGUGAAUCUAUGGAAACAGACAAUAUCCUGUCAUACUUUGAUAACCAUGACAUGCUGCACAAUAGUGCAUUUACAAAUUUUACAAUCUUGAGCAUUAGCAUCAACAUUAGCCUAUCAUAGACAACAGUUAGAGAGCCUCAUGGCAGUUUUUUCUCGAGAAUUUAACAUGAAAUAAAAUAAUAUUCAGAGGUCAAACACAAGCAGAAAGAAAAAGGCAUAAACUGGCAUAAACUGCAGUCUGUGGUGAGAGUAGCACAACAUGGAGUCUCAUAUGAAAUCAGAGAGCCUCCAUCUAGCGGUUCUAGUCGGUACUGCAGUUACAUUACAUUUAAAAGACUGUUCCUGCAGGCCUGAGGUCAUAUCAGGGCUUGUACAACAAAUAUAACAGAACAUAUGUCUAUUAUUCAUGCCUCAGAAAUUUUUUGACGCAAAGAGAAAUUGUCUUUAACGCAUCAACUUUGACAGUCCCAGUUUUUAUAGUUUAUCAUCAUAGUGACAUGACUGCAGGUUCGCUGAGUUUACAAGCUCCACAAUGUCAUAUCAUGAAACACUAUAAAGACUUUACAGUGAUUGUAACACAGAAUUGUUUUUACAGGGGCUAAAGACUCUCACCUAUGACUCACCUGCAGCUGAAAAUGCUCAUGCGGCUUUUUCCAGCACUCUGACCCUGAAAGUAGCCAAUAAGAGCUUGAUCUGUCCCACAAAAAUAACCUACUACCCAGACCCUGAGUUUACAAGCUUCACAUCCACAAAAGCAGGAGACAGUGUCCACAUCACUAUACAGGUAGACUUUAUGCACACAUGUACAAAUAUAGGACAUGAAUGCAUAAAUGAUCAGCAUUUGUCUAUGUUUUGAUUUCAGAAAAAGGAAGAUAAACUGGAGAUGACCAAAGCAGAGUUGUCUGUGUGGGGUGUUCAUGAGGGAAAGAAGUACCCCUGCAUCAUGACAAAUAUGCCUGAGAAGAUGGAUUUAAUCCUCUGUGAGAUUCAAAACACACAAGAUGUUACUGAUACAUUUGAGGAGCUGAUGGUAAAUCUUUAAGACACAAUAUGCCAGAAAUACUGUGUAAAACGAAAAUGAAAAUAGUGAAUUUAGAAGCAAACAAUUCUUCACUUAGUUGUCUCUAAACUUAUUUACAAUCCCCAAAAAAUAAAUACAUUUCUUUUUGACAGAUACAGUAUGGAGGCCAAACAGUAAACCUUAAAUUUUCAUUACAUACCUAUACUGUGAUGCUGCUACGCCUUCUGAUAAUACCUUUCAUUAUUCUAGGUGAGUACUCACAGUGGGACCGAGUGAUUAAACUUAUUUCAACACUAGUUUUAAAUGAAAAACAGUCAAACCUAAAUACGAAUAAUAUCUAUUUCCUAUUUUGAAUAAACCUCACGUGUUCUUGAUUUGUCUUUUAGCUAUGUUGAUCAUCUGUUGGUGGCAUCAUAAGAGGUUCACUCCAAGGGUGACCAAGGCGGUGGAAGACCUGGAGCUCAGGGAAGGUCAGCGUACAGGCUUUAGUAAAAUUGUUGCAGUAGUGUUUUCUGUAGAUUUGGACUGUGAGUAUUAGCUGUGUGAAAAAGUAAUAAUGAUCAUGUCUCUUUUUGGUUUACAGACUUCUGCAGAAGAUCCACCGGUGCAUCCUUCCUCUGAGCUCCAGAGGUAAAAUGCAAAGAUCUUCCACCAUCUCAAGAGGAUGGUAGUAGAAAGGACGUGGGAGGACACAUUUUUGUCAUCGUCCUCUGGAAAGUCUUAUUAUUUUUAUAAAGAUGACCAAAACUUUGUACUCAGAACUUUCUUAUCAGAAUUAUUCUUACAUUUAAAGCUGAACUGCUGAUAAAAUACCUGACUGACAAAUGCACCGAAAGUGUGGCCACCUAAAUAUUACAUAGACUAAGUUACACCUGUUGAUAACAGUUAACUCAGAUUGGGGGAUCUAAUUCAGGCACUUAGACAUGAAGUUCUCUUGCUUACAUCCGACCCAACAGUGAUUGUAAUAUUGCAAAUUUUGAAAUAGUCAUGAUGAAGGUUUAAUAAUAAUAAUGCAUCAGAUUUUUAUAGCGCUUUAUGUCAGUGACCUGAAAGUGCCUUACAUUGGAUACAUUAUUCAUUCACCCAUACAGUCAUAGACUGGUGGUGGUAAACGACCCUUGUAGUCACAGCCACCCUGGGGCAGACUGAUGGAAAGGUAGCUGCCAGUGUGCGCCUAUGGUCUCUCCGACCACCACCACAACAUUCACAUUUAUACACAAGUAGGGGACACCCACUGGGUGAAAGGUGGGUUAAGAGUCUUGCCCAAGGACAGGACAGACUAGGGAUAGUGGGGAAUUGAACCACCAACCUUCCAAUUAUUGGCCAACUGCUCUACCCCCUGCUGCCAUGGUUUAGUUUGUCUCCUAGAUAAUGGCAGCCUCAACCUGCGCUGUGCAUACUUAGAUAAACCCGUAUGUCUGCUGUUCUUACAGCAACUAGGGCAGCACCACAUAUCGUUUGAGCAUCGUUAUCAAGAUGUACUUAUGCACGAUAGUGGCAUUGCAGAGCCUAUGAUGUCGAAGGCGAAAGAACUCCUCUAAUUUCAAGGGUUGCUGACUGAGAUACACUGCAUGUGACUCUGCAUGUGCUGUGCAGCGAUCCACCAAUCAGAUUCAUUCGUUACUCAGCUGCCAAUCAGACUACGCUUUUAGCCAUCAAUCAAAAUCAGCGAGAAGGAAACCGCGCCCCUGCAAAUGGCCUGCACAUGGAGCGAGUCGCUGGUGCUGGUGCGUGUACCGAGAAUUAAUUUUGGAACGUUACUUAUUACUGUUUUGCCCAACAAGUAAGAAUCCUAUAGGUUUUAAAUUGUACAUUUUCGUAAACCAUUCUACUAUGAGCGGUGCGCGUUUUGCGAUGUGCAUGCAGGCUGACGUGCGUUUAAUUCUCCGCACAACACCGGUUACAACAACAACGAUUCCAAAAUAAGAAACGAACAAAAAGAACCGAAAAUGAAGACUUGUCGGCAAGAACAAAAAGCAAUGUCACUUACCGUCAAAGAUGAAGACUUGUCGGCAAGAAGGAAAGCAACGUCACUUACCGCCGAAGAUCUUGUUGGCAAAAAGAAAAGCAACGUCACUUACCGCCGAAGAUCUUGUCGGCAAAAAGAAAUGCAACGUCACUUACCACCGAAGAUCUUGUCGGCAAAAAGAAAAGCAACGUCACUUACCGCCGAAGAUCUUGUCGGCAAAAAGAAAUGCAACGUCACUUACCACCGAAGAUCUUGUCGGCAAAAAGAAAAGCAACGUCACUUACCACCGAAGAUCUUGUCGGCAAAAAGAAAAGCAAAGUCACUUAUCUGCAAUUAUUUCUGUUACUAGAAGGACGGCGUCACCAAACACCUUUUCUGUGUCGGCAGUGCCUUUCAUCUGUUGCCACAAUAACGUCCCAGCACAAUAAAAGCUAAAAAUAUCUCUGAGACAGACAGAAGCCAUUCUACUAACAUUUAAAAAAAGGGGUAAGAUAAGUGCAGUUUUACUGUCCUUAAAAUUUCAGCAGUGCAGCACAACAUAAAGUGCUAUUCAGGUAAUCUGGUGAAAAUUCCUCUAUUUUUUUAAUAUCGCAAUAUAUAUCGUAGUGUUGAAAAAAGUUGCAAUGUUAGGUUUUUCCAAUAUCGUGCAACAGCAUGAUAUCAACAGCAACCCAUUAAAAUCUUUGUUGUGCUUUUGGGACAUAUUUCUCCUCUGACUUUUAGUCUUGUGUAAACUACUGUUCAGCAACAAUUUUCAGCAGUGUUUUGCAGUUACAGUGUCACAAACAUUGGCAUUAUUAGUUUGGCUAUAUUUCUCAGUAGCUUGGUGGCAGUGUAGCUGUUUUGUUUUGUUUUGUUUUGUUUUGUUUUUUUGUUGUUUUUUUUUACUGAUCAAGAAAAAGAGACAAAAACAUUCACAUUAAACCGUACACUUAAUUAACCAAAGGGAAAAUUAUCACGAUGUUUUCAAUAAAUUAAAAACCAUAACAUACUUACUAUGAAUGCAACAUUUAAGAGAGAUGUACGGUUAAUUAACAGUGGUGACUUGCUCAUCCAGCAUGAAGUUUCUCCUCAGUCCUAUCAGGGACACACUUGUAAAUUUUAAAUAAAUAGACUUUUUUCAUUGUAGAAGGGGACACCAUUUUACUUUGACAUUACAAAAACAAACACAUUUACUCUGUCCAGAUCUCUGCCUGAUUAUCCCAGGGAAAGAUUUUCUUUGUGACUCAGUAUUGUUGACAUCUUCCUAAAAGAGAAGAUUUCUCAGCUUCAGCUACUCCAAAAGUCACCUGCAAGAAUGCUGACUAAGACCAGAAAGAGAGCCCACAUCACACUAAUUGAUCUUGCACCAACCCAUUUAUCAGAUUGGCUUUUAUCAUAUGAUCCUGAGAGAGCUCUGAGAGGCUCUAAUAGACCGACUGGCAGUGGCUUCAUGUUAGUGCAGAGGGUUGAAUCGGAGUAUUGCUGAGAGGUUGUGCUUUGCAGACGUGGUAAUGCUACUGUAGCCCAUACUGUAAUGUUUUUCUGGUCAUAAUCAUCAGGAUUUAAGACCCUGUUGGUGUUGUAUUUGAAAUAAAAAUGGACUAAAGCCAGGACUUUGUUCCGUGUUGUCAGUUUUUGUAAUCGAGCAAACAGAUCACAUCCUGUUAUGUGCGCUCUACCCACUUACACGAACUGUGGUUUAACUUCGUGACGCUUCGGGGAAAUGUGGUUAAAGUGCUAAACACCUCAACAGUCUCAGAAGUAUCUGUGUUCGGUUUCGUUCCGCGCACGCCCUCCCACUUUCUGCACUUCUCUAUUCAGCUUUUACGCACGAAUCCAGAGCCGCUUUAGGUCAGCAGAGGCUCCUGUGAGCCAUCAGAGAAUGAGUGAUGGUUUGCCGUCUCUGCACGAAGAUGCUCCUGCUGUCUGCUCUGUUGUUCAUUCUCUGGGGAGGAACAGGUCUGUGUCUGGAGGAGGACGGAGGGUUCCACUUCAAGGGAGACAUCCGCCACUACGCCGUAACCAAUAGCACGGUUUAUAUCGCCACUGAAGAGAUGCUGUACCAGCUGAGUCACGACCUGACUCUGGUCCAGAGUCUGACCCAGAGGGGGAUCUUGGAAGACGCUCUUCGGCCGACUGACGCGCAGUUCAAGCGAGUUUCUGGCACGGAUAAGUUUAACGCAACUUUCAGUGUUAACGUGUUGUUGCCGCUUGUCGCUGAUAACAAUCUGAUAACAUGUGGUGUGACUGAUAACGGGUGUGGUUACUGUGAGCUGCUGGACUUGAAGAACAUUUCCAACGUGCUGUACCGGGAACUCAUCCAGGUGGGGUCUCUGAGGCACAGCAGCGCGUCCGUGAGCUUCCUGGUGAGUGUGGAGACUCAAACCCGGACAGAGACUUACAUUGUGGCUGCUGUUCAGCAAUACAAAGACGAACCGACAAAGGACAUCUGUCCCUCUGCGUCAGAGGCGGUGAGCCUCCAUAACACCAAUAACGAUCAGAUAGGACAAAUAUUUUCUAUUCAAAGCGAGGACAGAAAACCUUUUAUCAAAGUUAAGGACGAUGUGGAGUUUGUGGAUGGAUUUCAGUUUAACUCCAUCAUUUAUCUUUUCUCCAAUCUGCCCUCAAAAUAUGAAAGUAACAAAGUCCGUCUGCUUUGGCUUGAUGGCAAAGGAGGUAAAGGUAAGACUGUUCAGUCGUUGCGGGGCGCGACCCUCAGUGUCUCUGAUGGAGGUGAAGACCGCAGACUGAUCGCCUCCUCGGUCAUCCCUGGCGGUCCCCCGGUGCUCUGGAGCGGUGUGUUCAGUGUGGGCGAAGGACAUACAAACACCGAGCUGGUGGUGUUUGACAUUAAUCCUGAUCUUAGUGGAAGGACCGAUGUGGACCCGGACUUCUGCUUUAACUGUGUUGCCAGGAACAAACCAACGGUGAGUGGUCGUCAAAUUAUGUUGCUUUAAUGAGCACUUGUGUCCACAUCCAUCUUUACCUCAAACAUAUAAUUAAUUGAAGAGUUAAUCCAUUUUAAAACAGCUCUCUAAAAGAAAACAAGAUUGUAUCACUUGGAUAAAGAGUUUUUUUCUGCCAGGGAGGUUUCAGCUCAAUUCUAAAAUUGUUUAAAAUGAGUAGAAAAUCAAAAGUAUUAAAACUAUCUCAAAGUGCAGUCUUGUCUCUCCUGACAGCCUUUUUAAUAAAGGAACUAAGUUUUACUAACUGAAGCUGAACUUAUUAAAGUAUUGGUUUAGUUCAUGAAGGUUUAUAAAAGAUAAUGGGUCAGUUUUGAAGCGUGAUAGAGAUUUGUACCCUUUAAUAAUAAAGAAAUAUUUGGCGUCUAAUUACGAAUUUAUUGUGUUUCUCAGCCAAAGACACUGAAGCCAAAGGCAGUGGUCUUCAGGCAGAACUACAUGACCUCUGUGCUGGCAGUGAGACAAAAGGCCUGGAUAGUUUUCUUCAUCGGGACAGGAGAUGGACAGCUUAUUAAGGUGAGUGUACAAAGGGACAUGCAGCAUGGGGACAGCUGCUGUGAAAGUAGGCUUAGUAGGCUACUUUGAAGUUAUAACCACUUAAACAGCAGCGAAUUGAAAUGGUCAACAAAAGCUAGUUAGAAAGCGGCUCAAAUGCAGCUGGUGAUUGUGGUGCAGAUUUAUUCUAGAAAUUUCACACUUCUUUCAAACUUCCAACAAACUCCCUCUGCUUCAUUAGUUGAUCAAAACCUACACUUGCAUUUCAGAGACUCAAGAUUGUUUUGUAUACAUGUCUGGUUGUGGGUCCCCGCAUGCAUGCAUCCCCCUUCUAAAACGGUCAACCCAACUUUCCAUCCCUUAAGGCCAUUUUUGUCAAUGAAUGUGUCAAUAUUACUGCUAUUAUAACAUUAGAAAUAGUACAGCAAUUUUAACGUUUAGGGCAGUGCAUGGAGCCACACAUACACACCUACAUACAUGCCAAACAUUUCCCUCCCCGCCAGCAUCGAUAAUUACCCACCAAACAGCUCUACUUUUCCUUCUCCCUUCUGUGUUGGAUAGGGUAACCAAGGGUGCGCACUUGGAGCUCUAUCAGCUUACUUAAACCUACAUUUACAUUGAUAUUCAUCCUUCUGGGCGUCCAUUCACGCCAUCAUGCCGGCUCAUGUUUCCAAAUGAGGAAGCAGAGCGCAUGAUGUCUGUGUGUAAAAUAGGUGGGUAUAUCAAAGUGGUCACAUGAUGCAAGAAUAAUUAAUUCCCUUGUUGCUUGAUAUGAAUCCUUCAAAAUUAAUGCUCCAUUGAUUUGAGUAAAAACUUUCUGAAAAAGGUUUGAAGGUUAAAAAUGUUUUAAAUGUGAAAAAAUAAGUUUUUUCCAAACUUAUGAAAUUGAUAAUGCCCACUGGGAGGGGCUAGGGAGGUUUAAAAAAAGGCUUCCUGGGCCUUUCUUUUUUGAGACUGGGGAUUUUUGCAUUAACAGUAACUGCCAAACCGACUUUUGUAUUGCUGCUGUGUUUUUGUUUUUUUCCCUUUGAGUGAGAAUCUUGAGCAAUAGUGAAACUCUUUUGCGUAUAUUUAGUUAAAUACUCUGGGUUAGGUGGCAUGUGUGAAAAUGAGAUGUUUUCCUUUUUCAAAAAAAGAAAUGACAUCAGUGAGCAGUGCUGGGGAUGCUGUUGCGAUUUCAGUAUCAUGGCCAAGUGACAUGGACAGCUCAAUCUGAGGGAUUAUCUAACAUGAUAAUUAUCUUUGUGCCUUAGUAACAAUAAAAUGGCUACACAGUUGGUUUCCCACCACAUGCACCGUCAUCAGAACAAAAUAUCUGUCCCAAACAAUAAAAUCCACCAUCCCCCCUGAUUUUUUUACAACUCGACUACUGCUGUUGAGACACAUGUCAUGUUGUAUUCAGAAAAUAUUCAUAACUUCUGGCCUGUUGGCCAUUGACAAUUAAUUCUUAAGAGGAAACCCUGUUUGAAAAACCUGGCUAUUGAGUUACAUUUCCUUUUUCUCCCUUUUAUUUGAUUAGAGAUUGCUUCCUACUAUUAAGAUCUGAAUUGAGUCAAUCAGUCCUAUAUGUGCAGAAGAGUUUUUGAACGUGACUCAGAGGAAACUGUGUUCGCAUCAGAGUGUUGCUUUGGCCACAGACCAGCACAGAAAUGAAACUUAACCACUUAAGAAAUCCCACAGCCAUUUUCAGAGGCUGCAGUAAUUUUCAGAGUAAAUUCAGCAGCAGACAAAUUCAGUCUCUGAGAAAUAUCACUGAAGUGCCUUCUUGUUUUCAGCUUGCUGUGGACAAGAACUACCAGACCAUCUGUCCAAAGGUGCUCUACAAAACCAGUGAUGACCGUCAAGUGUUUUCAAAACUACAUCUGGAUCAGGUGGAUCUGAAACAUGUUUAUGUGCCAUUUCAAAACCAGGUAGGUGCAAGUUUAGGUACAGUACUACAUUUUAGACCUUACAGUGGAUGUAUGCUGUGCUUUUAUGUCCUGCUAAGUUGCUGAUUUUGUUUAUUUAGAUCAAUCAUGUUCCUGUGUCAAAGUGCAGCACAUACAAAACUGUGCAGGAUUGUUGGUCUGCACAGGAUCCAUACUGUGUCUGGUGUGGCCCUGAAAGAAGGUUAGAAACAUCAUCUGCAGUGAACAUCAGUGAAGGAAUUUAAAACUUGGAUAAGACUUACCCUUUUUUCUUCUCCUAGCUGUACAUUUGAAGAAAACUGCCAGGGCUCAGACUGGUUGUCCAUUCCUGAUGAUUCUCAGCACAAAAUGGUUUCCUAUCAAGUUACGCAGGACCUGACUGGACAGGUAGAGAUUAGGGUUAAGUUCUGAGUUAUGAUGAGUUGUGGCUCUCUGAUAGUCGAUUGUUUAUUUACUCCUAUCUGGAUAUGUUUCAGAUCACACUUAACAUCCAGGUGCAUGUGACAGCGGGCGAAGAGGUGCUCUCUAACUUUGCCUGCCACUUCUCUACAAGUUCCACUGAGCGCUUUAAAAUGGAAAACCCGCGUCCACAGUUUCCACAUUGUUCUUCCACCUUUGAAGCAAGCACACUUCCUGCUGGAGGUCAGUCAUUUAUGAUAGAUAAUAAUAAUAUGAUUAAAAUUUAAAAAAUGUAUGAUUGUUAUAUUUAGUAUAUAUUUUUUUAUUACAACAGGACUGCCUGUAGUUGUGAAAAUGAGACUUGGUUCAUCACAGUUGACUGAGAGGCUGAACCUGCUCAACUGUACGGACAUCAGCGGACCACCAACACCUGUCCUGUAAGUCCUCCACUGUUUUCUACUAAUCUAAGCUGACAGAAAAACACAUAAAGUCCUUAUUUUGACCAGACUGGGAGAGCUAUCAAGCAAACAAAAACUGGUUCCAUGUAGACAAAUCAUGUGGAGAGAGACCGUGGAUGUAAAAGUCUUUAAUGGAGUUUAACCAAACUUUUGAGGACUGACUGUCCAUCUGAGAAAACAUGGUUUUGAUUUCAGGGGUCUUCAACAAAUCUGUCCUAUACCUUUAACCCAGAAAGAUAUUAACCCAAACCCGACUAAGUAGUGUUGAUCCCUUAAAGCUCUGUUUUGUUUUCAGAUGCCAAACGUGUAUCAAGGCUGGAUGUGGCUGGACCAUGAACAGAUGUUCUUGGGCAAAUCAAGGCACCGGGAAUGUAAUUAUGCAUGUUUUUAUUCACUGAUAUAACAAUAACUUUCAGAUGGACUGUGCUGAAAUAGACACCCACAGAUCUCUAAUUUGUCAUAUUUUUGAUUGCUACUUAAAUGAAGACUGCAAACACAUGAGACACAAAUUAGUGUUACUUAAAGAAUCAUUUUCAAUGUAGUUUAACAGCUACUGUCACCAGCGUGAGAGGUAGAAGCAGUAGAAGAGGUGGUAGAUGGUAUCCAAAGUAGAAGUGUGUUAAAUCUACCAAUAAAAAAUAAUAGUCAAAGGUUUUAUGGAUGAAUUUAUUCAGCCAAGUCUGACCUUGGCUAGCAUAUCCUUACCAAACCUGGGUUUAACCAGCUUAGAUCAAAGUGGGAGCAAGACACAGCAGUACACUUUGUUGUUUAAGGCUGUGACACUGACAGCAGGACUGAAGACACUUUUAUAAUUUUAUGACUAUUUGUCUCUCAAGCUGCUAAACUUACUUCUCACUGCUCUUUCUGCAGGACAGUGUUUGCCAAAUGAUGAAGUCAUCAACAGACUGCCCUGUGAGUCCACCAUUUUUGCAUUCAGACCACAUUCACAUUCAGUAAAUUCAAAUAUUAGCAGAUGGUAGUGUAUAAAAUCUGAAUAAAACUGUUACCUUUUGUUGGUUUGACUGUCAGAGACCACAGAUAUCCUCCAUCACUCCCAGUGUUGUGUCUUUCCACGGCAGAAACAACGCAGUGUUGUCUGGUAGAAACCUCUGUUCUGUGAUCAGAGUGAGGAUCCAGGCAGACCUGGACUGCACACCACAAGAGUGAGUCAGUUUAUGGGUGACUGUAUGGGAUUUAUUCACACUUAAAAAUCACAUUUCAAAAGCUUCAAUGAUACAAAAAAGGCAGUCAGAUUGAGAAUUCACACAUUUUACUAUUUCAAAAUAGAUCACAGUUACUUCGGGACCUGCUUGAAACUAAAACAGUGUAUUUGCCCUUUAAAUUGAAGAUUUUCAAGCUAAUUCAUGAUUCCUCUCUAAUGUUUGAAUGAGUCUUUUAAACAGGGUUGCUAAAGAGGUGUCUUAAGAUGUUGCCUGGUUUUGAGACACAAAUGUUUGACAGUUUGCCCUGACAAAUCUGUCUUUGUUCUUAUAUUUUCUUUAAUUUUUUUGUGUUGUGAUAUUUUGUGAUCUGUUCCAACAGCUAUCAACACAUAAAAGCAGAAAAAGUUUGGUACCAGAGGGUUUCUCACAUCUAUUUUGUAGUAUAGUUUUUGGCUGCAUGGUGUUAUCUAACGGCUUAAACAGAAUCCAUUAGUAAUUUUCCUCUGAAGCUGAACCAUUGUCGGAUAAUAGAAAAUGGAUCGCAGGAUCCAAUUUCAUAGUUCCAAAUGUAAUCUCAGUUAGUUGUGUUCAGCUUUGACAUCUUGUCAGUUAAAACAGAUAUUAUAUUGUUUGUGCCAGAUAUUAGUAGUAUGCUUCUUACUUUGGUCUAUUUUUCAAAAAGUAUGUUGUAUAGAUGACAUUUGUAUAUUCUUGCAUUAAAACAGAAAUAACCUAAUAGUAUGUUGUUGUUCAUUUUACUUUGAAAGUAUCCUCUCAAACGAAUAUGAUUGUUUCCUGUAAAUUCAGACGCUUUUAUUCUGAAAAGAAAUGUGGAGACCAAGGAAUAAGAGAAACUGUAAAUUCAGUUUGAUCAACGUAAUUAAAAGAUCAUUGAAAUUUUGAUUUGAUAGAGGCACAAGGUUUGUACACAUAUUUCGUGUCUCGUGUAUACAAAAAAAAUGAUUUAAGAAUAUUUUUUUAGUUUUUGUUAAGAAGCAAUUAUGUGAGGGUGUUAAAUCUAGCAAGAAUGCUACAACCCUUAUAUUGGUUGUGUUAAAAGCAAAAAGCGUUUAUUUACAUUUGUAACCUGGAUUGAGACACACUAUCAAUUACUGUUUUUUUUUUAAAUCCCUUAAUUUUUAAGUUGAAGUGUGUAUUCUUGAGAUUGCUGAAAUUUGUAUUUAUACUAUAUGGUUGACAAUAGGCAACUUAAUAGGUAAUGUAAGUUUAUUGGCUAAAGUAGUUUGAGGAUGUUGAGGAUUGUCAAAACACAAACAUUUAAUAUAUAAAUAUUAAAUUGACUUUACUUUAAAAGAAUUUGUAGUGCUGAAAAUUACAUUUUAUCUUCUGUGAAUCUCACUGCUUCAGUUUCUCUUUGUCUCACUCUGUGCACUCUGGUUAGGUCUCCUGUUUGGAACAACACUGGUGAAACUCUGACGUUCCACAUACCCAGUGCAAAAUCUAAAGGUGUGGCCAAAGUAUGUGCUCUCCUCCCAGAUGGUAGCUGACAUGGUAACGCCUUAAUCACCUAUCGCUCAGCACCAUCCUGCACAAAAAUUACACCUGAAAGCACCUGGUUCAGGUAUGACUGUUUUAGGACUAUAGAAACCAUAAAAAUGCUAACAUAUAGACUUUGAUAAACAAGAUUACCCUUGACAUAUCAAGACAUUACUGAUGUAGUUAAAUACUACAAAAAAUCCUCACUUCUUGGAGCUCUAUUUUGCCUAACCAUCGGCUUACUGUACAUUAUUUUACUUUUUAAAUUUGGCGAAUAACCAACUUUAAAAAUACCUUUACACUAAAAAUCGAUUUCAAGAUUAUUUCAUUAAAACAUAUAUCCUUCAUUUGCUGUAAACCCCCAAUCUAAAGUUUUGUGCACUUCUUCAAAGUAAUUUUGAUAGUUAUAUUGAGGAUAUCCUUCAUGUCUACCAAUCCUUAAAUAACAUUUUACCAUUGUGAACAGGAAGAGGUGACAUCCUAAACUAUAUGUCCUGUAGCUCUUCUCCACAUACGGUGCUAUAAGAGUGCUGUGUGUAAUCUGAUUAUUUCUAGUGACACAUUCUUAUUUGAUUGCUUACUGCUCUGUGUGCCGUAGCUGGAAAAGGAAGAUCACAAUCAUUGGAUCCCACCUGGAGUUUGUGGAAGCCGUUAAACACAGUGGAGUCCUGCAGGAGGUUGGAUUUCCAGGACACAAUACCUAUCAGGUUGGUCUGUAAUAAUCAGAAAUAAUCAAAAUAUGGGAGGUUAAAAUAAUUCAACUGAUUAGUUUUCUUUAAAACGGUAGUGAACAAAAUGUGUACGAGUUAGUCUACUUGUUUUUAUUUUGUGUAAUUAUUCAGGCAUAUGUAAAGGCCUUUGCUUGAUCUUACAAAACAGUGGAAGUCAGAUAGUACAGGGUUUGACAAAUACAAUCACAGAUUAUACUGUUUUCAUUGCAUCCAAGAAGCUAUUCAUGAACAGUCGGCCCCUCCAAAUGGCUCCAAUUAUAGUCGUGCAUGAUUUCUGAUCGGUAUGUGUAUCAUGUAACAAGAUGUAAGCUCUCUAUAACGUGACACAAAAUGUUUUUGACAGGCACUCAAGAAUCUCACCUACGACUCACCUGCAGCUGAAAAUGCUCAAGGGACUUUUUCCAGCACUUUGACCCUGAAAGUAGCCAAUGAGAGCUUGACCUGUCCCACAAAAAUAACCUACUACCCAGACCCUGAGUUUACAAGCUUCACGUCUACAAAGAUAGGGGACAGUGUCCACAUCACUAUACAGGUAAUGCAAGAUUUUCCAGCACACAUGCGCAAUGAGGAGAUUAAAAUUUGAAUAUCAGCAAUUUUUUUCUGUUCUUGUUUCAGAAAAAGGCAGACAAACUCGAGAUGAGCCCUGAAGAGAUAUCAGUGUGGGGUAUUCAUGAAGGACAAAAAUACCCCUGCGAAAUGGAAGAGAAAGGAGCCAGUGGCAACACCGAGUAUUUCAUUUGUGAGAUUAAAAAUUCAAGCAUCACAGAUUUUCAAGAAUUGGAGGUAAGUUUUUAGUCGUGCCACUCCAAAUUAAACCAUGCUUUUGAUAGAUAAAAUAUACAUGUGUCUCUAAAGCUUUUACAGAAACACAGACUUCCUUUUUGAAAUCCUUUCUUAUACAGUUUGAUUGUUUCUUUGUCCCAGAUAAAGUAUGGAGACAAAACAGAAAUCCUUGAAUCUGCAUCAUGGUCUCCUCUCUUCCUGAUACUGCUUGUCUUACAACAGAUCCCAUUAAUUAUUGUUGGUAAGUACCCUUUCAUGGUUAGACGGCCUAUUUUGGUCUUACAGCAGUUUUAAAAACACUGACAAAUCUGGAAAAAACUGUGUUGUCUGCUUGGUUUUAUCUCCCAGUUGUGGGGAUCCUUUAUCUAAGCAACAAAAGAAGCUGAAUGUAAAGAUGAACAAGAUCAUGGAAAACCUGGAGCUCAACAUCAGGACAUCACCUCUCCUGUGUGCUGGCCCAUCCAGGACUGUGUCAGACUCUUCUUAUUCUCCCCCACACUGAGUCAAUUUUUUUUGCGUUGAAUGUUUUGCCUGUUGAUGCUCUUUGACGCUCAAAUUUUGCCUCCCACUAACACUCUAAAAGCUUGCAGUAACCACCUUUUUUUCUCUUUCAAAAUUUUUUCCUUUUAUCAAUGUAUCUGAUGGCAAACAAAUGCUACCUGGAGUGGCUAAAUUGUGUUAAUAUGUCAAUUGUUUGAAGUACUUGAAUGUUGUAUGUUAAUAAACAUUUUUUCGGUCAACA
rnacentral:lncRNA from 1 species